UACGUAGGGUGCGAGCGUUGUCCGGAAUUAUUGGGCGUAAAGGGCUCGUAGGCGGUUUGUCGCGUCGGGAGUGAAAACCCAGGGCUUAACUCUGGGCUUGCUUUCGAUACGGGCAGACUAGAGGUAUGCAGGGGAGAACGGAAUUCCUGGUGUAGCGGUGAAAUGCGCAGAUAUCAGGAGGAACACCGGUGGCGAAGGCGGAUCUCUGGGCCGAUACUGACGCUGAGGAGCGAAAGCGUGGGGAGCGAACAGG
rnacentral:rRNA from 1 species